GAAUGCUGACAUGAGUAACGACAAUGCGGGUGAAAAACCCGCACGCCGGAAGACCAAGGGUUCCUGCGCAACGCUAAUCGGCGCAGGGUGAGUCGGCCCCUAAGGCGAGACCGAAAGGUGUAGUCGAUGGGAAACGGGUUAAUAUUCCCGUACCUGCUAUACAAUAAAAGCGACGGAGUAGUGUAGGUAGUGCGUACUGACGGAAUAGUACGUUGAAGCGAGUAGUAAUACCGCGAUAGUACACUGCGACUACGGUCAAGGUGAUAAUCUAGCAAAUCGACUUCCAAGAAAAGCGAAUGAAGCAGCCCGUACCCUAAACCGACACAGGUAGUUGGGAUGAGAAUUCUAAGGAGCUCGAG
rnacentral:rRNA from 1 species